rnacentral:rRNA from 1 species
GUAGUCUCGCACAGAUGCAUAUCAAUAAGCGGAGGAAAAGAAACUAACAAGGAUUCCCCUAGUAACGGCGAGUGAAGCGGGAAGAGCUCAAAUUUGAAAUCUUAAAGGGUUUCCCUUUACGAAUUGUAGUUUAAAGAAGUGUUUUCUGUUGAGGUUUUGGUAAAAGUUCUUUGGAAUAGGACAUCAUAGAGGGUGAGAAUCCCGUAUUUGACCUUUACUUUCAACUUUGUGACUACACUUUCAAAGAGUCGGAUUGUUUGGGAAUGCAGUCCAAAAUGGGUGGUAAAUUUCAUCUAAAGCUAAAUAUUGGCGAGAGACCGAUAGCGAACAAGUACCGUGAGGGAAAGAUGAAAAGAACUUUGAAAAGAGAGUUAAACAGUACGUGAAAUUGUCAAAAGGGAAGCGUUUGACACCAGUGUUGUUUUUCUGAAAAUCAAUUAAAGAACUGUUUAUGCUAAGCUGUUUAGACUUUAUCAGCUAUCUGUUUAGUUUUGAGCUUUUCUUUAAUGCACUUUUCAGUUAACAAGUCAACAUCAAUUUCUUUUGCUGUAAAAAAGCUUGAGGAAGGUGGCUUGAGAUUCGUCCUUAAGUGUUUAUAGCCUCUUGCCUAUGCAGUCGGAGAGAUUGAGGUCUGCAGCGUAGAUCCUUCGGGGCUAAAUGCAUUUGUGCUAAGUUAUAGCAUUUUCAUAGACAACUUGUUGACUAUGAUUUGUCUUGUAGCUUACUCGCUUAUGUUAUUUUACCUACGCUUAGGAUGUUGACGCGCGUGUGUGCGUG